AAUUUUUUUUCAUCUUUUACUAUAGGUUAAUUCUAUCUAUUUAAAGUGGCUAAAAAAUGGUUUUACAUGUGAGUUUUUGCGUGAUUUAGUUUAAGUUCCUUAAAGGGAGAAUUAUAUUUUAUUCGCAGUUUAGUAUAUUAAUUAAUAAAUUAUUUUAGUAUUAGUUAAUUUUUAUUAGGAUAGUUAAAAAUUGUGCCAGCAAACGCGGUUAUACAAUUUAUUCUAGUUAUUUUUUUUAAGGAGCAUUAGUUUUAUAUUUAGGUUGGAUAUUAUUCUUAAUUUAUUAGGUGAAAUUUUAUUUUUGUUUUGUUAUUCAGGUUAUUAAUUAAAUGUGAAAUUCAUUUUUUUUUUUAAACUAGGAUUAGAUACCCUAUUAUUUUUGAAUGUAAAUUAUUUUUUUUUUGGUAUUAGUAGUUAUGAUCUUUAAAUUAAAAGAUUUUGGCGGUAAUUUAAUCUUUUUAGAGGAAUCUGUUCUGUAAUUGAUGAUCCACGUUGGAUUUAACUUUAAUUUAGUUUGUAUAUCUCUGUCAUUAGAAUGUUUUAACAGGAAAUUUUCUUUGAUUAUUAUCUAGUUAAUGUCAGGUCAAGGUGCAGCUAUAUUGAAGGGUGAAAUGGAUUACAUUUAAUGUUAUUAAUUAAAUUAUUUAAUUAGAAAUUUAUAUGAAAAAGGAUUUAAAUGUAAAAAAUAGUAUCUACUAUUUUUGAUUUAAGCACUAAAUUAUGUACAUAUCGCCCGUCACUCUCAUAAAAAUGAGAUAAGUCGUAACAAAGUAAUUCUAUUGGAAAAUGGAGUUAGAUUUUCA
rnacentral:ncRNA from 1 species